rnacentral:rRNA from 1 species
GACGAACGCUGGCGGCGUGCUUAACACAUGCAAGCCGAACGGUAAGGCCUUCGGGUACACGAGUGGCGAACGGGUGAGUAACACGUGGGUGAUCUGCCCCCUACUCUGGGAUAAGCCUGGGAAACUGGGUCUAAUACCGGAUAUGACCUCCUUCUGCAUGGUUGGUGGUGGAAAGUUUUUUCGGUAGGGGAUGAGCCCGCGGCCUAUCAGCUUGUUGGUGGGGUAAUGGCCUACCAAGGCGACGACGGGUAGCCGGCCUGAGAGGGCGACCGGCCACACUGGGACUGAGACACGGCCCAGACUCCUACGGGAGGCAGCAGUGGGGAAUAUUGCACAAUGGGCGCAAGCCUGAUGCAGCAACGCCGCGUGCGGGAUGACGGCCUUCGGGUUGUAAACCGCUUUUAGUAGGGAAGAAGCCUCUUGGGGUGACGGUACCUGCAGAAAAAGGACCGGCUAACUACGUGCCAGCAGCCGCGGUAAAAC